rnacentral:lncRNA from 1 species
UAUGAAAUUGUGGUAAUUGACUUAGGAUUCCUUUGGAUGGUACUUAAGAAGGGUUGAUGACCCUCCGAACCCGUAAAUAAUUUUUUCCACACCCCUAAGGGUAGUUUUCCUGGAGCGUUUUUCCUGGAGCGUGAUCAGCGACAGCAUCUCGUCGAAUGUCUGCACCGGGUUCCGUUUAAUUAAGACGCAAGCGUCCUGCAUAUCCUUAAGCACAUUUUCCGGACUGUAGUAAACUGCAC